rnacentral:rRNA from 1 species
AGUGAACGCUGGCGGUAGGCCUAACACAUGCAAGUCGAACGGCAGCACAGUAAGAGCUUGCUCUUACGGGUGGCGAGUGGCGGACGGGUGAGGAAUACAUCGGAAUCUACUUUUUCGUGGGGGAUAACGUAGGGAAACUUACGCUAAUACCGCAUACGACCUACGGGUGAAAGCAGGGGAUCUUCGGACCUUGCGCGAUUGAAUGAGCCGAUGUCGGAUUAGCUAGUUGGCGGGGUAAAGGCCCACCAAGGCGACGAUCCGUAGCUGGUCUGAGAGGAUGAUCCGCCACACUGGAACUGAUACACGGUCCAGACUCCUACGGGAGGCAGCUGUGGGGAAUAUUGGACAAUGGGCGCAAGCCUGAUCCAGCCAUACCGCGUGGGUGAAGAAGGCCUUCGGGUUGUAAAGCCCUUUUGUUGGGAAAGAAAAGCAGCAGGUUAAUACCCCGCUGUUCUGACGGUACCCAAAGAAUAAGCACCGGCUAACUUCGUG